AUUGAACGCUGGCGGCAUGCUUUACACAUGCAAGUCGAACGGCAGCGCGGGCUUCGGCCUGGCGGCGAGUGGCGAACGGGUGAGUAAUGCAUCGGAACGUGCCCAGUAGUGGGGGAUAGCCCGGCGAAAGCCGGAUUAAUACCGCAUACGACCUGAUGGUGAAAGCGGGGGACCGAAAGGCCUCGCGCUAUUGUAGCGGGCUAUGUCGGAUUAGCUAGUUGGUGGGGUAAAGGCUUACCAAGGCGACGAUCCGUAGCUGGUCUGAGGGGACGACCAGCCACACUGGGACUGAGACACGGCCCAGACUCCGACGGGAGGCAGCAGUGGGGAAUUUUGGACAAUGGGGGCAACCCUGAUCCAGCCAUGCCGCGUGCGGGAAGAAGGCCUUCGGGUUGUAAACCGCUUUUGUUCGGGAAGAAAUCCUCUGGGCUAAUACCCCGGGGGGAUGACGGUACCGGAAGAAUAAGCACCGGCUAACUACGUG
rnacentral:rRNA from 1 species